rnacentral:rRNA from 1 species
CACGCAGGCGGUCGUGUAAGUUUGGGGUUACAGCUCCCGGCUCAACUGGGAGAGCGCCUUGAAGACUGCAGGACUUGAGGGCCAGAGAGGGACACAGAAUUCCGGGUGUAGUGGUGAAAUGCGUAGAUAUCCGGAGGAAUACCAAAGGCGAAGGCAGUGUCCUGGCUGGUGACUGACGCUGAGGUGCGAAAGCUAGGGGAGCGAACGGGAUUAGAUACCCCGGUAGUCCUAGCCGUAAACGAUGACCACUAGGUGUGGGAGGUAUCGACCCCUUCGUGCCGUAGCUAACGUGAUAAGUGGUCCGCCUGGGGAGUACGGUCGCAAGAUUAAA